GCAGACGUCGGUGCGCCGCGCCGCGCACUGGAUGACCCGCUGGUCUUCGGGAAGGAGGUCGGAGCGGCUGGGUAAGACCACCGUAGCUGAGCCGUGGGUGCUGGUGGAGCUGGUCCAGGCGUUCUACGAGCUAUAUGUGCAAACCAAAGAAGAGUUUUUGAAGCCAUGAUAUAGCCACAGAGCAACAUCCUGCUGCCAGCCCCAACUGCAUUAAACCCUGGAGACACUGUUGAAUGGAUGUGGUCCUGGACAUUUCAAAACAUGGAUCAGGGAUAGCUGACCCUUCUGGCACCUUACAGAAAAGGCCUGAAAGCUGGCCUCGUGUGUAUUCUUGGAGUAACAACAGAGUGGCCCCCAAAGGUCACAGUAGUGUACCCAAAAUGUCCAGGAGGUGGUGGCAAGGAUGGAUCACUUGGGAGGAAGGGGAGUGACAGAAGGAAGAGCCCCAGUCCACACAGGAUGCCGAUGAUGGUGUUAAUCACCCAGGAAGUGGAGCUGGAGCUCAGCCAGGCCAAGGCACAAAACAUGAACUUCCUUAUUCUUCAAGCCAAGCAAGUCUGAAAGUCUGUCUAGCAAUCCCAUAAUGUGAUUCAAGUAUUUACAAACCAGCUGGUCUUUGAGGUUAGUCCUGCAGGCCUAGGAGCUCGUGAAGAACAGCAACGGACGCGCUCGCUCGCAUCCGUCUCACGGAUGGGAAUCUGGUGCUGGCGUCUUUCAGCCUUCCUCUCUAUGCAUCCAUAGGAGGGAUCCCUGGUCCGGAGCAAAGUCGCCACUACAAGGGUGAACUGGUAGCCUGGGUGUCAGCCGGAGCCUCAGUGGCUGGGCACUCUCCUUGCGCGUGGCGUUCCCCUGGCAACCGGACGUUCUUCCGGUCCCGAAGCCACGCCUUCUCCAAGUCAGAGACUGAAGAGCUCCCGAAACUGCCACAGAUACAGCGAAGCGUUUCGAAGAUGUGAGCACGAUGGCGGUAGAACUGACGCCUUCCAGCGAGGAGCCGAGCCUGCCCCGGGCCUUUUAAAUCAGCUUUAACUGAUUUCACUGAAGAAUGCCUAUACUCUUAGUUUGGUAUCUUUACCCUAGAGAAUUAUUGUGACUCUGACUUUGCUAAUGCUUAACAUGGAGUUUGGAUAGGGACUUCUUUGCAUAUUGUUACAUUGUUUCGACUGUAAUUACCUUUUUUCCAGAGGCCCUCACCCUACUCUGCCUAAACCCACGGUCCCUGUCUCAGGCCCAGACUCCACCUCCUGGGUGAGCACACAUACUGGGGACCCAACAGCUGCCUCCUUGCCUGCAGAGCAUCAGGAAACCCACCUGCAAGAGCAUCGGUCCUGGGGUGUUUGAGCCCCAUUGCCCAUGACGAACACCUCUGCAGAGGGAGGCCCAAAGAACACCUUCAACUGGGCAGAAAGAAGAUGACCAGGAAUCAAAGUGAGUGAGGAAAGCACCAGGGCCCCAAGUGGGAUGGGUUCCCACAAUUCUCACUUCAUUGCUCCCCUUCCAGCAGGCAGAGCAAGUCGGGUCCUAGGAGGGAGGCGUGGCAGGUAGCACUGGCAGCCUUCAGAGCCUUCUGUGAUCUGACAGCUCAGGGAGCACUGCCCAAUCACCAUGGACAAGAGCAUGUCCUGAGGCCUGCCAGGCAGGGCCGGGCUGCCAGGGGGUUGCAGCUUCUGCGUGCAGGACGUGUUCACAACAUGGCACACUUAAAAACCAGCCCCCCAUCUUCUUAGUUCUCCCCAAGUAAAACUGCUCCACCACUUAACCUGCCAUGUGAUCUGGGGCAAGGCAUUUAACCUCUCUGAAAGUGUUUGCCCAACUGAACAAUGGGGAUAAGCCUGGCCAGGGCACUAAGUAACUUACACUACAUCAAGCAUGCAAAGGGUGGGAAUGUGAGGAGCUGUCCUAAGAGAGCUUGUCUAUAGGAGAGGAGAUUCCAAACACCGCUCUCUUCUUUGUCCUUUGAUGAUGUGAGUCCAGGUAAGUUCUGGAAGUGUGUGCCCACAGCAUGUUGUAGCUCUCUUCUGACUUUUUAAAAUUAAAAUGUCACAUUAGUUUGACCACGCAUUUUCCUGCCUGUCCCAAGGAAGAAGCUGAGAAGCUGUGGCCCUUGUCACAGAAGUAAUGUGUGUGACGGGUGGUGUCCUUGUGAGUCACACAGGUCUGGCAGCCCAGAGUGAACUUCUCUGCCUGUGUGCCUGGUGCUGCCCUUGGUCAGGGCACUUCCCUCAGCUGAAAAACUAGCAGGUCAUCCGUCUUGACCGGUGGAGCUGGCAGAGGGGACGCGAGGGCAUCCAGUGAUGACCGGGCACGACCUGAGUAGCUCUGACUUUUCUUCCCUGUCACCAAAGGCCGCGUGGGACCACCUGCCAGGAGACUCAGCCCGCAGUUUCCCAACAUCCCCGCCCCAGAGCCUAUAGGAUUGGGCAAUGCAGGGAUGUCAAAGUGCUUAGGCUGAUAUCCUUGGGAACUAUGGAGGAGUUCAUGUACUUACGACAGGUGUACAAGCAGCAACUUCACUGUGUGGUAGUUGGAAGCGAAAAUGCCAGGCGAUAUUUUGAAGCAGUUCAAGGAUCAAAACAGCAUUGAGGAGAGCUCUUUGGGGUCUGUAACCUCUUCAGACUACGGUCCCAAGGCUCUUGUCUUACCAGGGACAUCCUGGAGGUGUGAAAUUGUUCUCUGACAUUUUCAAUAAUAUUUUAAACACAUUUUUCUCCUUAGGAAACUUGAAAUAUAAUUUCUGGUGCCUUUUCAGAGAAAUGUUUGGUUUUUGUUAUAAAAAAUGCCUUGUGUUGAGAAUUUCUACUUUUAGAGAAAUAAGAAAUGCAUUAUUGUAUUAUUGUACCUUUAAAGUAAGAUUCUUCUCGUAUAUAGUCAUAAAUAAUGUACACACACUAGAUGUAUACAUAUACUAGAUAUGUACAUAUACUAGAUAGUGUGACCUCCAGGGCCAUUUUCAGACUGGCAAAGAGAAACGUAUUAUUUUUUUAAAUAGCUGUUGAAGUCAAGAACUAAAAAGAGACUUUCCUAAAUAAAACAAAAAUUUUAAAUGUGUUUUGGUUAAAAGUUACCAAAUACUCCCUGAGAUGCACUCUCAUGUUUCAUGAAGAUUUUUGUUUUCUGUUCCCAAUAAAAAUUCCACACCAAUA